CCCCUCCGCUCCCCGCCUGCCGGCUCCGGAGGGAGGCGCCGCGCUGUGGGGCGGGGAUCGGAGCGGAGCGGAGCCGGAGCUGGAGCCGGAGCCGGAGCCGCCCGGGCAGGGGCGCGCAGCCAGGAGGGAGGGAAAGGGUGUAGGAUGGAAACUCAUAUAUACAUAACUACCUACGUCGUCUGUGGAGGAGCUGGAAUGGAUGCACUGGACAGCUAAGCGCAAAUUCUGCGGGAGUGUGAGCUGGCAGAAAGGCCAAGAUGGAUCCAGCUUCAGGUGGGAACAAAGGUGGCCCCUGGGCUGAGGCUUCACAAAGGAAGGUCUGAUCUGGAGCUUGGUUUAAAGGCACAGGUGAAGAUCUUUGGAAAAGAACUUUCAUCAUGGAAACAGUGCCUAUAAGUAUUAACUAAAUCUUUAUCAUGGGGGGGGGAAAAUGAGUUUGAGAGUCAAGAGAUGAUUCUUUUUUUUUUCCUUUUACUUCCUCACAAGUAAAAAUGUUUUCUUUAUAAACUGCCCCCCUCCAAUGUAUCAGGGGAGACUUAUUCAAAGUUCAAAACCAAAGAGAUGUUUACAGCUGUUGUUUUUUCCCCUCUGCCCCGUGCAUGCAUACCUUGCUUGUAUUGCAUAGGUUUUAAAAGUCUUGAAAACUGCUGGAAGAACUAAAAAUGCAUGGGAAAUAUUCCAAAGGUCAAAUAUCAAAGUGUUCUCUUACAGUGGUACAUGUGUUGUAACUAAUAUCUUUGCAGAGCAUAGAUCUUAUUUUCUUAAAAACAAACAGUUUUAAUGCCCGGUCAAUUUGGGGUUUUUGCUUCUGGGAUAUGAGGAAAAAGUAAAUCUGCUUCAAAAUUGUUAUGAUUGUGCCAUAAGGAUUCAGUUUUGUUCUCUCUGUAAUAGAGGAAGAAUGUGUUACAUCUUGAUGAAGCAAUGCUAAGUCUUACUUGGGGAAUUCUUAUUGUCUGUUUCUAUGAAUAAAGCAAUCAACUCUA